ensembl:lncRNA
CCCAUUCACAUUAUGAUUCUUCGCACGACCUGCAGGUUGGAGAGACUGAAAUAACCCCCAAAAUGAGUAAUAAUGUAAAAGCAGCCAAGUCCCACAAAUUGCUUGAACUAUUUAUUUCAUUCCAUUGUUUCGUUGAUAUGCAUUAUUGAAAAGUUUCAAGCAUAUGGAUAAUGCAAUAUCCACAAACAGUUCAAAAUGGUUCCAUGAUAUGCGGUCACAGGUACAUAGUUAUCACCUGACAAACAUGUCACGGGUUGAAAUCAAAGGCAGUACAAAUAGAUAAAAAUGCAGCUGAAGUUUCAAAUGUCUUGUUUAUUGUAUUAACCAGUUAAUUUCUCUUGUGAAAGUCACCAAAAGUCCAAAAAAGUUAAACGCAAGGUCACAGGCUAACAGUGGAGCCGUGUUGGGAACCAGCAGCCAAGAGCUUCCAUGGAAACUUUCUACCAAUGUUAAAUAGAUUUAGUUGGCAGUUCCUUUUCUGCCCAUUUUUUUUUAAACUUGUGGAAGCACUUUGCAGUACUGGGAGACACCAUUUCUAACGGCAAUGGAGCUAGAUUCUAAAAAUAUCAAAAGAUGCCCAAAGCAAAUACCUUUAACCCAUAGUUAUGUUUUAUCAAAUUAAAAAAAUUGAGUUUCAUUGACUACAAAUUGAGCAGAAAUAUUUUGCAUACAAAUCUUUAAAUAGUUUAACCACAUUAAGAAAAAUAAAUUCGUUAUUUUUUUUUAUUAGUGAAGCCACAAGUUUUGCACAUUAUCCAAACAGAAUACCUGAAAUGUUGAUAUUUUCAGCCCUUUCGGGUUAAAACAAGAGAAAAGGACAACCUAACAAGAGUGAAAAGUUUGGGUUAGGUGACCUAUAGUUCAAAGAUGUCCCUGGUCAGGUAGACUAAAUAAAAGUGUAUUCCCAAUUGCUCCAGGACAUUCAUGUAAUUUACUUGUGAGCUCUCCCUCAAGCUCAGAGAGACAUCAGUGUUGAACCACCAACUGAAAGGGGGUAUUUGCCAUUAGUAUGAGUGACAACUUUUCAUGGCUAUUAAUUUAGUUCAUUAUAUUUAGCCGAUUUGAAUAGACUUUUCUAGCAGGUGAGGCUGUCAAAGAACUAAAUAUGGAGCAACUACAAAAGUACAUUUGCAGCAUCACCAAAUUAUACAAAAGUAUAGGAACUGUUCUAGCAGAUAUGUUUUAGAAUUCUCUUUUGAUAGGCAGGGAAUAAUUGUCUUUGUCACCCUGUAGUCAUGCCAUCAAAUCUGUUGGGCAAAGUACCGCUACUGAUUAAUCCAGUAGACUCACCAGUCAAGUCCCCCUAGUUAGAAAAUGGAAGAAACCCAGUUAGUCAUGUUAAUUAUUCUGUUACAAAUGAAGACCAAUACUUUCCACAUAUUGUGAUCCAAGUUACUGGCUGCAGUCUUGGAUUUUAUAGUUCUAUACGAAUAGAUUCAAUUUACUAAACUAUUAAUCAUGCUUCAGAAGAAUUAACCUUUCUUGGAUGGCAGAUCUACCACAAGCCUCCAUUGCCACAACCUCCAGAUGGCUUACGACCUACGGCAGCUCCUCGACUACUGCAAGCCAACAAAUUGGCUCUUGCACACCAGACACGCAUUUUGCUUUCAAGCAUAUUAAAAUACCCAAAUCAUCGCUCCAAUACACAAGUCAGCUAAUGGCCUACAAGGAAAUGCUGAAGCUAGUGUUAGUGAUGGCGAUAGAAAAUAUACAACUAGAAUUGCAAGGUUCACAGCCCAGUUGCACAAGUGGUCGCAACCGUUGGAUUGCAAGCAAGGGUAAAAAAAAAAAAAAACUUCCCACAAACUAGUCAACAUGGUCAAUUGAAAGCCUGUACAAAACGACCCUGGAAUAGUCAAAUGCAGCUUUACAGCGGAUGAAUUAAGCCAAAUUGCAUAAACAUCCAAUGGUAAACAGUAUACAAAUGCAAUCAAGGUUGCACUCACACUAGGCCAUCUGGCCGUGGCCGUCGCAACUGUGGCCUGGCCCCGGUAGGCUCAUGUACAUACGCCAUCACGUCGCUAGCAUCCAAACAAUUCUACCAAACCUUAACCAACUAGUGAAAAAUGGAACAAAACUUUAGCACACACCCAGUGACUAAUCACCUUGUCCAGGGGGUGUUCCAACGUGGUUUACCAGAGGCCCUUGUGGACUUAAAGUAAGCCACACAUUUGACAGACGGCACCGAAUGACGUUAAACUAAGCUAAUCUACAGGUUACCAGUGCUAGUGCAAUUACAUGAGCAUUUUGCACAAUAUUUGUACUCCAAUGCUACGUAAAGCAGGCUUCUUCAGAAACCCGUAGCCUGCUACAUUGAAGUGCAACUGUAACAAAUCCUGACCAAGACCGAAAGAUGGCUCUGGAAGCCACUACGGCCCACGCAGCAGAUUACUGCGUGGACCGUGGUGGCUUCCAGAUCAACCCUUCGGUGGACCAUUCAUACACAUGUAUUCCGAGGAUGUUUUGAAGACACUGGAGUCCCAUGGCACUAGAUUCCUUUGAAGACUAAGUUGGUAUGGGGGGGCCCAAAGGGGGGCCCCCCCAUAGAUCUUGUCAGUCAUCUAACACCUGUUAAGAAAAACACACACAUCACAAGAUACAAAUCAGCAAAGCUAGGUUAACAAACAGCGGUGACAUGCAUGUCAAGGUGCAAAGAGCAGGGAUACUGAUGGCUUGUGUCUGAGGAGACAGCCCAAAAACGUCAACAUUUAAUAAAGGAAAAUAACUUUUACUCACUGCGGUGGUCUGUUUCGAAGUGCCAUGUUGGUAGCAAUAUUUGUCUGGGCUGUUCAGUCAAAUGCCCACAAAAACAAACACGCAACAACGCAUACUUUCAGUUUGUAUAAAGUGACAAUAGUGAUCUGCAAUCUAAAUCGAAAACUUUCAACCCUCACUAAACUCAACCUUGAUUGACACAGGCCGAUGCGAAAAGUAAACCAAACCCAUUGUGUUCACCUUUAAUAAAGGGGAGCGUGACAGGUGAUCUCAAUUAAGAGCCAAUCAGAAAGAACACACUGAUCGGCCAUGAGUGAGACUAUCAAAACGAGGACGAGGAUUUAACGGAAUUGUUACCAUUCCAAUUCAAAUUUCUUUAUUAUUGGAUAGGGUAUGAUAUCAAUGAGUUGGGCUUUGAGUAGGCCUAUAUUUCUUAAAUAUAUUUCUUAAAUUUUUUCACCCCUUCGCCUUUUGAAUAUGAAAUUUAUAAUCUCAGCCUCUAAUUUGCCCAACACAUAUUUUAUUGUUCAAAUAAAAUCCGAUCCUUAUUUUGCCAUUCAAAUUUGAAUCUUUACUGUCUUUCAUUGUACAACACAAUCAUCUAAUAAUUAUUCAUAACGCUCUUCCAUCUCCUUGGCUGCAUUAAGACGAGGCUCGGGUCAGAGCAAAGAUCGGGAUCCACACAUAAGGGAUAAAGUUAUUUAUUAGAAUAAAGUAAGUAUCAUGAAAUCUGUAAAGGGAUUAGUGUAGCGUAUGGAAGAUUAGAAAAUGUGCGAUUAUAUGGUGGACAGAAAACCAGUACCAAAAUCACAAGGACCGACCGAGCCAGAACGGAGGAAACUUAACCCAGACAGACAAAACAAAUACUGGGAACAACAAACCAUCUUUACCAUGUUGGAAAUACCCAAACAAAAUGCAACAAACCAAACCUGAUCAGCAAACCAACAUACAUGACCAACCAACUGAACUACUGACCAAACACACAAUUCUUUCGAUUAGCCUAUGUAUAUGGGCAGUGGAAAGUGUGCUGUGGGGAUGUUGAAUAGUGUUAACAUUAAACAAAACAUGGAAUCAAUCCAAAGGUCCAAACCCUUAAGGAACCACCCUAAACAGAACCCAUGCCCACCUGCCUCAGUGGAAAGAGAGAGAGGCUGUUUCCCAAUGUCAAGGAAGCAUGCUCAACAGCCGCCCUUUUAAGGACGCUACGUCAUAGAACGCCGACAAGCACUGUUCCAAUGUUGAGGACACUUGAAAGCCACGCCAUUUUUGCGUCCUUUGUUUUUGAGAAUUCCGAGAUCUUUCAAGGAUGCAUCGCUGCAUCCUAGACGAGCCAAAACUACCCACAAUCCUCUGCGUUCACUGGGCGGGUUCUUGAAAAUGGCAGAGCAGUACACGUUCAAAUGAAGUGAAGUUAUAUUAGUUUUCAGAAAUGUUUUGUACCGUAUUGCUUUUUAUAGAUUUAUUUUGCAUUUUGCAUGGACGUAGCUGGUGUUAAAUUCCACUGUCAAUUUACUCGCUCACAAGAUUACAUUAUUUAAGUAUAUGUGAGAAAGAGGUAUUGAACCCCCAACUCACAUGCGGGACGGGACGCAACCAAGGAGUCAGUUGGUCAAAAAGCAGUUGUCGGCUCAGAGAGUUGAAGGUUGCAAAAAUGGUGCCGGUUUAUUUACAGUGCCCAAAAAGUACAAAAAGAUGACACAAAAGAAUACAGCCUCUCGGCAAGCUGUUGCAUGUCAAAUGCCCGACAAGUACAAAAAGAUCACGCUAAAGAAUAAAGCCUCUCGGCAAGCUGUAGCAUAUCAAAUGCCCGACAACUACAAAAAGAUCACACUAAAGAAUACAGCCUCUCGGCAAGCUGUUGCAUAUAAAAUGCCCGACAAGUACAAAAAGAUCACACUAAAGAAUACAGCCUCUCGGCAAGCUGUAGCAUAUCAAAUGCCCGACC